AUUGAACGCUGGCGGAAUGCUUUACACAUGCAAGUCGAGCGGCAGCGCGGCCUUCGGGCUGGCGGCGAGCGGCGAACGGGUGAGUAAUGCAUCGGAACAUGCCCAGUCGUGGGGGAUAACACUUCGAAAGAAGUGCUAAUACCGCAUACGUCCUGAGGGGGAAAGCGGGGGAUCGCAAGACCUCGCGCGAUUGGAGUGGCCGAUGUCAGAUUAGCUAGUUGGUGGGGUAAAGGCCUACCAAGGCGACGAUCUGUAGCUGGUCUGAGAGGAUGAUCAGCCACACUGGGACUGAGACACGGCCCAGACUCCUACGGGAGGCAGCAGUGGGGAAUUUUGGACAAUGGGGGCAACCCUGAUCCAGCCAUUCCGCGUGAGUGAAGAAGGCCUUCGGGUUAUAAAGCUCUUUCGGCAGGAACGAAACGGUGGGCUCUAACAUAGUCCGCUAAUGACGGUACCUGAAGAAGAAGCACCGGCUAACUACGUG
rnacentral:rRNA from 1 species